ACUUAGAUCGAUACCCUAAUAGCACACUUGUUGUUGUGUAUAUGCUAUUUUCAAGGACUGUUUGCUGUUUACGUUGUUCGUAGCAGAGAUAAGAUAAUAUGUAAUGAGAUGUAGACCUAUAAGGCAUGUUUUAGCUCUGUGACCCAUUUUUGGCUCUUUAUUUGUGACUGGUCGAUAGGCUGAAAACGAAAGUUGCGCGUUUCCAGGAAUCUGUCGAUUCGCCAAGUGUGAGCGGCUCCAUUACGCUCCAUAUGUUAGUGGACAGGUCAAGCUUUCUUCCUGGUCAAAAGAGUCGAUAGUGUGAGUCGCAG
rnacentral:sRNA from 1 species